rnacentral:rRNA from 1 species
AUUGAACGCUGGCGGCAUGCCUUACACAUGCAAGUCGAACGGCAGCACGGGUGCUUGCACCUGGUGUCGAGUGGCGAACGGGUGAGUAAUACAUCGGAACAUGUCCUGUAGUGGGGGAUAGCCCGGCGAAAGCCGGAUUAAUACCGCAUACGAUCUACGGAUGAAAGCGGGGGACCUUCGGGCCUCGCGCUAUCGGGUUGGCCGAUGGCUGAUUAGCUUGUUGGUGGGGUAAAGGCCUACCAAGGCGACGAUCAGUAGCUGGUCUGAGAGGACGACCAGCCACACUGGGACUGAGACACGGCCCAGACUCCUACGGGAGGCAGCAGUGGGGAAUUUUGGACAAUGGGCGAAAGCCUGCUCCAGCAAUGCCGCGUGUGUGAAGAAGGCCUUCGGGUUGUAACGCACUUUUGUCCGGAAAGAAAUCCUUGGCCCUAAUACGGUCGGGGGAUGACGGUACCGGAAGAAUAAGCACCGGCUAACUACGUG